AAAAACUGGAAAAAGAAACAAUAAUAUGGCGUACCAAAUGGGAAAACAAUAAUAAAGCACUUCUGCAAAUGGCUGAAGAGGUGAGAUGGUUUCCUGCGACUAAGGUGUAGCCUUAGUCAUGGGGACUCCUUGAGUUCAGAAAACAGUCCGUGAUAAAGAGUACAAGGCCCUUCAAAUAAAACUGGAACGGUUAGAGAAGCUGUGCAGGGCUCUUCAAACAGAAAGGAAUGAGCUCAAUGAGAAGGUGGAAGUCCUGAAAGAGCAGGUAUCCAUCAAAGCGGCCAACAGGGAUUUAGCAACACCUGUGAUGCAGCCCUGUACUGCCCUGGAUUCUCACAAGGAGCUGAACACUUCCUCGAAAAGAGCCCUGGGAGCGCACCUGGAGGCUGAGCCCAAGAGCCAGAGAAGCGCCGUGCAAAAGCCCCCGUCCACAGGCUCUGCUCCGGCCAUUGAGUCGGUUGACUAAGAUGAGGUGUGAUCACUGUAUUGAGAGAUAUAUUUUGUGUAUAACUUUCUCUGUUAGUAGUUAACUAUUGGUUUUGUGGUGAAAAUUUUCUUACUUUUUCUACCAUAUCUGUAUUUUCUUAGAACUACUGGACUUAUGUGGUACAGGAGGCUGCUUAGCAGUUUUGAAUAGUUUAAUCUAUAAAUUUUCCUCAGCUGUGUUGCACAUCGGCCUCAUUCUCCUUCCACUGGAAUGCAUGUGUUCAUUGCCUUGUCCUUCUCUUCCUGCUCCUUGCACAUUAUCAUCCUAAUGAAAAUUUCACUGACAGGGCCGACCAUUACAAGGGAACUUUGUUCUGACGAUGGUUCCUUGACGUGAAAACAAUAUUAAUUUAAACGUCUUAGCCCCCCCAUUAAUAUUAUUCAGAAAAAGAAAAUACCAAGGUGAUUAGUUUUGUCUAAUAACCCAUUUAAAUGCCAAGUAAAAAUAAAACUAGUGUUGGGUCAGAAGCAUAUUUGAUUGAAAUUAGCUUUUUGAAAACAUAUCUCGGGACAAAUUGAGAUGGCCACAUGCCUAGAAUCCUAAGUUUCAGCAGAAUAUGUAUAUAAAGAUGUCACUUGUGGACAAAAUAGUACAUACAGGCAAAUCACUAGACAAAUAAGCUUAGUGUUUAUGUGACUGAACAGUCAUCCUGCUUUGGUUUCAGGUGUGGGAUUUGGACCAUGAGGGGCUCCCGUAGAGGAUGGCGGUUUGUGUUUGAUUCUGAUUUGGGAUUUCAGUACAUAUUCUGCACUUCCCAUAGAAGCCCACUUAUUCUUUGAAAACUGGUGUUCAUGUUUUGCCGUUCAAUGAAGUCCCUUGUCAAAGACAAGGACGGUCAAUUCACGUGUCACUUUCACUAGGCAGAAGUUUCUCCAAUACCUUCUGGCUACUUGAAAGUUAUUACAAAAAUUCCACCAGCAAAGUACUCCAGGUUUUUCAAAAGGGAAUUUUCAUUAUGGAUCAGUACCAACCGAAAUUGAUUUUCAUUUCCAAAACAAACACUGGCACCAACAUUUUUACUUUGGGAAGACUUGGCAGAGUGUUAGUCAGGAUCUGUUACUUAUGCGUUCAGUCUGUUUCUCACCCCCUUCUUAGUUACCAUCUCUUUUUUAAGAAGAAAAAAGAAAAGCCACAGUAUUAUCAUGGUCUGUACACUUGGACUGGGGGAAAACUUGAAAUUAAGCAUAUAACUUUUGAAUUAGUUCUUUGUUUCAAUGUUGAAUGUGGCUCAGUUAUGCAGAUGAUUAAUCAGGCUGCACUGAUGGAAGUUUUGACUUUGUCCCUGGUAUAAUUUGCAUUGAAAUGCUUUAUGAAAUAAAAGGUUCUACUAGAACUGAUGUUAGCACAUUCCACUGAGCAAAACUAUCAGACUGACACUUGUUAAAUUGCUUACUGGACUGAAUAAACUCUGUUUUGUCCAGUUAAAAGGGUUUUCUCUUUGUUACAAGUGUUAUUUGUAAAGUCCUGUCACAUUCAUGGUCUAAACUGGGUUGAAAGAAUUGAAAAUUGUCCAACAGAUAGGAAACCGCCUGGAGUGGAGGAGGGUUGUAUCUAAGCCUUCACCAUCAGUCAUGUUAAUUCAAGGGGCCAGACAGUGGAGGAAAAUAAAUCCACAAAGUAGAUUAUCUAAUUACCAUCAAAAUGAGUCAGAAGCAAAAAACAACACCCUCCAACAGCCUCUUGUGAGUACACCCUGUUCUGCUACUAAAAUACUAGACUCAUUUCCCUGGUCGGGGGGGGAAUGCAGGUAUAGAUCAGAAAUAUAAUCUACCUUAAA
rnacentral:sRNA from 1 species